rnacentral:misc_RNA from 1 species
GUGAAUCAUCGAAUCUUUGAACGCAAAUUGCGCUUCCUGGCAUCCCGGGGAGUAUGCCUGUUUGAGGGUCAGUAUUAAUAAAAAAUCGGUUGAUUGACGAAUUGUGACGUGUCGGAAGGUUGUUCGGUCGUAACAUUUUUGGUUAAGAGGCUUAAAAUUGACCUUUUUUGCGCUUUUUUGAAUUUACAUAAAUUUUUGUUAUUCUUCUAUUCUGAAUGCCAAAAUCGGAUUAGAUGCU